rnacentral:RNase_P_RNA from 1 species
ACCGCGAAUGAGUCAGCCGCGGGAGAGCCUUCGGGUUCUCUCGAGGAAAGUCCGGGCUCCUAGAAGCAAGUUGCUCGGGAAAUCCGAGUGGGGGCGACCCCAAGGAAAGUGCAACAGAAAACAAACCGCUCCGCAAGGAGUAAGGGUGAAAUGGCGGUGUAAGAGACCACCGGCAGACCAGCGAUGGGCUGCGCAGUGCAAACCCCAACUGGAGCAAGACAAAAUAGGAAGGCACUGGAGCUGCUUCUCUCCGCCUUCGGGUAUGUCGCUUAGAUAAAUGGCUGACGAACACAGAACCUGGCUUAUCAUUCGCGGUGUAU